rnacentral:rRNA from 1 species
GAUGAACCGGUUUCGGCCGGGGAUUAGUGGCGAACGGGUGAGUAACACGUGGGCAAUCUGCCCUGCACUCUGGGACAAGCCCUGGAAACGGGGUCUAAUACCGGAUAUGACCACCGGCCGCAUGGUCUGGUGGUGGAAAGCUCCGGCGGUGCAGGAUGAGCCCGCGGCCUAUCAGCUUGUUGGUGGGGUGAUGGCCUACCAAGGCGACGACGGGUAGCCGGCCUGAGAGGGCGACCGGCCACACUGGGACUGAGACACGGCCCAGACUCCUACGGGAGGCAGCAGUGGGGAAUAUUGCACAAUGGGCGCAAGCCUGAUGCAGCGACGCCGCGUGAGGGAUGACGGCCUUCGGGUUGUAAACCUCUUUCAGCAGGGAAGAAGCGCAAGUGACGGUACCUGCAGAAGAAGCACCGGCUAACUACGUGCCAGCAGCCGCGGUAAUACGUAGGGUGCGAGCGUUGUCCGGAAUUAUUGGGCGUAAAGAGCUCGUAGGCGGCCUGUCGCGUCGGAUGUGAAAGCCCGGGGCUUAACCCCGGGUCUGCAUUCGAUACGGGCAGGCUAGAGUUCGGCAGGGGAGAUUGGAAUUCCUGGUGUAGCGGUGAAAUGCGCAGAUAUCAGGAGGAACACCGGUGGCGAAGGCGGAUCUCUGGGCCGAUACUGACGCUGAGGAGCGAAAGCGUGGGGAGCGAACAGGAUUAGAUACCCUGGUAGUCCACGCCGUAAACGUUGGGCACUAGGUGUGGGCGGCAUUCCACGUCGUCCGUGCCGCAGCUAACGCAUUAAGUGCCCCGCCUGGGGAGUACGGCCGCAAGGCUAAAACUCAAAGGAAUUGACGGG